rnacentral:miRNA from 1 species
GGUUGGCCAAAACGUUCGUUUGGGUUUUUCCUGAGAUGUUAUGGAAGAACCUGAACGAAAUCUUUGGCCAGCC